rnacentral:lncRNA from 1 species
ACCAUCUGGGAGUCGGGGCUGGCUUUAGCUCCAAACAUCCUUUCCAGGCUGCAUUUCCCCCUCGGAAUUCGCCUGGAGCUCAGCAGACACUCUCCCUCCCUUCCACCACUCAUCCACCCAUGAAGAAGGCAAGCAAUAUGAUUUCAAUUAGACUUGGGAAAUCAUCAUGCAAAACAUAUUUUCAUAUUAGCCAUAUUGCAAAAUAAAAUAAAAGCAAGA